UUCUCUUCUCCGAUAAUGAUUAAGGUUAACUUCUCUGGUUUCUGAUAAUUUAUGAAGUCUUAAAUCAAAAAUCUCUCCGAGAUUAUGGUCGAAUGAUUUGUUGAUUUCACAGAUAUCAAAUCCCAAAUCAAACCCUAAUCUCAAAUCCAUUUUUUUUAUUCUUCAUGACUGACCUAGCAGCGCCAUUCUCCACCAUGAUUCGAUCUUUUAAUGGAAGUAAAAUCGUCCCACCAUGAGUCGAUCUCAAUUUUCGUAUUAUAUUAUUCGAUCUAUAACCAUCUUCUUCGAUCUAUAAGAAUUUUCUUUCUUCAAUCUCACUGUGAACCAUUUUCUUCUUCAAUAUUUAACUGUAAACCAUUUAAUUUGUUUUCUCUUCUUGUGUCUUUAAUUAUCUUGGUUUCUGUCAAAAUUUGAUCUUUUUAAUUUAUUAUUUUCAAGAACAAUUGUUCGAUUUUGUGAAACUUUAACCUAGAUUCUUCAAUUUAGGAUAUUUCGAGGAUUGGUUACGUGCUUUGUGAACUUGGGUUUUUCUUAAUCUGUUAUUGAGUUAUUAACUAUGGGUUUCGUGAAAAGUUUGAACUUUAGGUCAUAUGUGAUAAAAAUCAAUUUGAGCAUGUUUAGCUCUAGAUAAGUGGAAUGUUGACGCUAAAAAUAUGUUGCAGACUCUAAGAGAAUAAAUUCUCAUUGCUUUUGUUGUUGUGCAGGUAGAGAUUAAUAGGUUAAGUGAAGAGCUAAUUCAGUUGAAGGAUCUGAUUUUAUAGAUAAAAAAGUGAAACCUGAGUUUGAACCAAUUAUUGAAGUUUGUGGAUUCCUUGUUAAAUCUUGCAUCUCUAACGGUGUAUGUCUAAAAUCCUGAUUUAUUCAUGAGUUAGGUUUUGAAGGUUUAUUCUUGAAUUUUACCCUUUUGAUAAGUAUUAUUUCUGAUAUGAUGUCGUGUUUUGGGGGUUCUGCUAGAUUCAUGACUUGUUUUCUUAAGUUUGCCAUUUGUCAGUUGGUUUAAUGUUGAUUGUUGAUUGCAUCUCAAGGAUGGAUACACAACAAUGGGAUAUUAAGUUUGAAAGAUGAUAUUUUGAAGAUGAAGAGAUGGUUUAGUUUGAAGGUGUUCAAAAUAACAAGCACCAAUAUGUAAGAACAAAAUCACAAGGGAGAAAAGAGAUAAGUAAACUGACCUGGUUAGCAUACACUUGGAUCACUUCAUUCAAGUCAGAUUAAGGAAUUAUGUGCCAACCCUGGUUCGAUUGAUUUGAAUGAGCAUUUUCAAAUGAGCAUAUAUUGGAGAUGAAGGUUAGAUAUAUUUUCUAAGAUAUGAUGUAUACACGUCAUGCCAUGUGUGGGGCUAUGUGGAAUAAUGCUGAAGCUAAAGAUUUAUGGAAAGAGAGGAGUUUAUAAGGACACUAAUUAGAUUACAGGAAGAGCGUUGGGAAAUCCUCGAUAAAUAUGGAAUCCUUUACAACUGUGCUUUCUCCCUAUGUGAUAAAGGAAGAGAAUUAAAUGACUAUUGUAUUAUGCAACUCAUUGUGCUGCCUGAAAACCGGUUACAUCUGUACUUCAAGAAGGGGCAAGUGAGAGAUGAUGACAAAGAUGAAGAGAGGGUCGAGGAGAAGGAGAAUGUUGAUGAUGCAAUCAGGGAGUUUGCGCGGCUGUUUAAGGAAGUUACAGGAAACGAAUGGGAGAGCGAGAAAAAAAUCCAGAAGAAGCAUAUAAAGUUCUAUCUUGUAGACAUGGGUGAUGGUGUCGAUGUUCAACACGGUGGUCUGGGUCUCAGACAUUUUUAUCUUACAGGUGUGCACUAAUGGAGAUGAGACUUGAGUCGCCUGAUUCGCCUAUGGGGAUGCUGACAGAUGUGAGGAAGUUCUUAACGAGUUCAUAGACAAGUUCAAAAUGACAAAGGAGACUGGACAGAAUAAUGAAGCAAUUUGGUUCAGGUUGGAGGAUCACCGAUUUAUAAAGUUGAUAGGCUACUUGUUUGCUGGGAACCUUUUUUUUUUGUUUCUUUUUCUCUGCAGUGCAAAAACUUAUUGUAUUUUCUACUACUUCUCGCCUGGAGAAUAAACUCGAGAAUGCUGAAUAUGCACUUUUCGAUCUAGAAGAGAGAUAGACAAGCAAAUGAGCAGUUUUCCAGGAAUUGGAGAAGGAACAUAAUGGGGAAGUGUACAAGUAGCUGAAAGCAUUGUUUUUUGUCUAUUGAAUUUGUUGUAAAGUUCAUUAAUUAGUAGUUUUGGUUCUAAAACAGGGGUAACUCGAUUUUGUUAGAUUAAUUUGAUUUUAAAUGAACAGGGUUAAUUUCA